rnacentral:tRNA from 1 species
GCGCUCGUAGCUCAGCUGGAUAGAGCGUGUGCCUCCGAAGCACAAGGUCGGGCGUUCGAAUCGCCCCGAGCGCGCCA